CACACUUAAAUACUUGGUCUUCCAUAUAGAGUAGCAGUUUAGUUUUCGUCCCGUCAACGAUCGGCCGCAAAAUUUGAUUUUCCGGAGUUUAUUUUUAAUUUUUUUAUAAAAUUAGUAGGUGUCAAUGACAAAAACGAAGAGAAAGUUCGCGAUAACCGACAAAUUUCUACCAAGGCUCGCCAAAAACCUGUGCACCAGAAAAGGCAGUCGUCGGGCGAAUACCGGCAACCGCCUGGAACACGCGGUCCUCACUCACAUUCAGCACGUACCGUAGUUCCCCUCCCAACCCCCGUCACCCCUCAUCUAAUCAUCCAUCUCCCUAACCGGCAUCAGCUAACUAGUGUGAAAGAGAUUGAUACUAGCAACCAUGGCCCGAGGAGACGAAUGUAAAACCGCCAGCAAGGCUAACUAUGCUGUCAAGUCGUUCGACGUGUCUGCCCCCAUGCAAAAGCCGAGCCAGGCGCCGAAAUACGAAGCACCCAAGAAGGCCGAACAGAAGAAGGACUACGGCUCCUGGGGGCCCGUCUACAAGGACAGGAAGACUUUCACAGACAUGCACCUCUGCUGAACAACACCGCCGGCUCAUCACUAACCUCGUCACAUAGUCCUAGAGCUAAACUACCAAAAAUGUUACGAAAAAAUAAAUAAUCAGCCCAAUUAUAUCGUGUUCCUUUGUGACGUGUCUAGCUUCUCUCUUAUUGUUUCCAAUGGUGUAGGUAACUUGCUUGCUAACAUAUCAUGUAUCAUUAUUAACAGAUUAAACAUCAUCAUCAUA